CAGUCGCCGCGGUAAUACGAAGGGGGCUAGCGUUGCUCGGAUUUACUGGGCGUAAAGGGCGCGUAGGCGGACAGUUAAGUCGGGGGUGAAAGCCCGGGGCUCAACCUCGGAAUUGCCUUCGAAACUGGCUGUCUUGAGUACGGGAGAGGUGAGUGGAACUCCGAGUGUAGAGGUGAAAUUCGUAGAUAUUCGGAAGAACACCAGUGGCGGAGGCGACUCACUGGCCCGUUACUGACGCUGAGGCGCGAAAGCGUGGGGAGCAAACAGGAUUAGAUACCCCUGUAGUCCCUGUCUCUUAUAC
rnacentral:rRNA from 1 species